rnacentral:rRNA from 1 species
AUACGUAGGUGGCAAGCGUUGUCCGGAAUUAUUGGGCGUAAAGCGCGCGCAGGCGGCUUCUUAAGUCUGAUGUGAAAUUCUGCAGCUCAACUGCAGGCGGGCAUUGGAAACUGGGGAGCUUGAGUACAGAAGAGGAGAGUAGAAUUCCACGUGUAGCGGUGAAAUGCGUAGAGAUGUGGAGGAAUACCAGUGGCGAAGGCGGCUCUCUGGUCUGUUACUGACGCUGAGGUGCGAAAGCGUGGGGAGCGAACAGGAUUAGAUACCCUGGUAGUCCACGCCGUAAACGAUGAAUGCCAGGUGUUAGGGGGGUCCAACCCCUUAGUGCUGAAGUUAACACAUUAAGCAUUCCGCCUGGGGAGUACGGCCGCAAGGCUGAA